rnacentral:rRNA from 1 species
CGGAGUUAGCCGGUGCUUUCGCUGGAAAUACCGUCAUUAUCGUCUUCCCUAACGGUGGUUUACGUUCGCAAGAACUUCAUCCCACACGCGGGGUGGCUGCAUCAGACUUUCGUCCAUUGUGCAAUAUUCCUCA